AGUGAACGCUGGCGGUAGGCCUAACACAUGCAAGUCGAACGGCAGCACAGGAGAGCUUGCUCUCUGGGUGGCGAGUGGCGGACGGGUGAGGAAUACAUCGGAAUCUACUCUGUCGUGGGGGAUAACGUAGGGAAACUUACGCUAAUACCGCAUACGACCUACGGGGGAAAGCAGGGGACCUUCGGGCCUUGCGCGAUUGCAUGAGCCGAUGUCGGAUUAGCUAGUUGGGGGGGUAAAGGCCAACCAAGGCGACGAUCCGUAGCUGGUCUGAGAGGAUGAUCAGCCACACUGGAACUGAGACACGGUCCAGACUCCUACGGGAGGCAGCAGUGGGGAAUAUUGGACAAUGGGCGCAAGCCUGAUCCAGCCAUACCGCGUGGGUGAAGAAGGCCUUCGGGUUGUAAAGCCCUUUUGUUGGGAAAGAAAUCCAGCUGGCUAAUACCCGGUUGGGAUGACGGUACCCAAAGAAUAAGCACCGGCUAACUUCGUGCCAGCCGCCGCGGUAA
rnacentral:rRNA from 1 species